UACGAAGGGGGCUAGCGUUGUUCGGAAUUACUGGGCGUAAAGGGCGCGUAGGCUGUGCUGUAAGUCAGGCGUGAAAUCCCCGGGCUCAACCUGGGAAUUGCGUUUGAUACUGCGGCGCUGGAAUGCAGGAGAGGAUGGCGGAAUUCCCAGUGUAGAGGUGAAAUUCGUAGAUAUUGGGAAGAACACCGGUGGCGAAGGCGGCGGCCUGGUCCGUGACUGACGCUGAGGCGCGAAAGCGUGGGGAGCAAACAGG
rnacentral:rRNA from 1 species